rnacentral:rRNA from 1 species
UACGGAGGGUGCAAGCGUUAUCCGGAUUCACUGGGUUUAAAGGGUGCGUAGGUGGGCUAGUAAGUCCGUGGUGAAAUCUCCAAGCUUAACUUGGAAACUGCCGUGGAUACUAUUAGUCUUGAAUGUUGUGGAGGUAAGCGGAAUAUGUCAUGUAGCGGUGAAAUGCUUAGAUAUGACAUAGAACACCGAUAGCGGAGGCAGCUUGCUACACAAUGAUUGACACUGAGGCACGAAAGCGUGGGGAUCAAACAGG